UACGUAGGGUGCGAGCGUUGUCCGGAAUUAUUGGGCGUAAAGGGCUCGUAGGCGGUCUGUCACGUCGGGAGUGAAAACUCAGGGCUUAACCCUGAGCCUGCUUCCGAUACGGGCAGACUAGAGGUAUGCAGGGGAGAACGGAAUUCCUGGUGUAGCGGUGAAAUGCGCAGAUAUCAGGAGGAACACCGGUGGCGAAGGCGGGUCUCUGGGCCGUAACUGACGCUGAGGAGCGAAAGCGUGGGGAGCGAACAGG
rnacentral:rRNA from 1 species